rnacentral:misc_RNA from 1 species
UAAGAUAAACAGGAAGUCUUAUUGAGUGAAAAUGAAAUAAGGCCGAGGCCUUUUAGGUCACCUCUGGGAUACCGGGUCUACUGCUCACUGGAUUGAGAUCAAAAAGCAAGGGGAACAAAGGAAUUCUGUAAUUGAUCAAUGGGUUACGAGAUUCAUCUCAUAUUGGUGAAAAUAUAGGGACUUCUAGCCCAAAUGACAACACCAAGAAACAAGAAAGAGCUGCUCUUGCCUCCAUUACAUUCUGAUCUUCAUGCUAGGUAAAGAAUUCAGGAUAAAAACAACUUUAAAUUACAAG